UACGGAGGCAGCAGUGGGGAAUAUUGCACAAUGGGCGCAAGCCUGAUGCAGCCAUGCCGCGUGUAUGAAAAAGGCCUUCGGGUUGUAAAGUACUUUCAGUCGUGAGGAAGGUGUUAAGGUUAAUAACCUUAGCAAUUGACGUUAGCGACAGAAGAAGCACCGGCUAACUCCGUGCCAGCAGCCGCGGUAAUACGGAGGGUGCGAGCGUUAAUCGGAAUUACUGGGCGUAAAGGGCACGCAGGCGGUUAAUUAAGUUGGAUGUGAAAUCCCCGGGCUUAACCUGGGAAUGGCAUUCAAGACUGGUUAGCUAGAGUCUUGUAGAGGGGGUAGAAUUCCAUGUGUAGCGGUGAAAUGCGUAGAGAUGUGGAGGAAUACCGGUGGCGAAGGCGGCCCCUGGACAAAGACUGACGCUCAUGUGCGAAAGCGUGGGGAGCAAACAGGGAUUAGAUACC
rnacentral:rRNA from 1 species